GACGAACGCUGGCGGCGUGCUUAACACAUGCAAGUCGAGCGGUAAGGCCCUUUCGGGGGUACGACGAGCGGCGAACGGGUGAGUAACACGUGGGUGACCUGCCCUCAGCUCUGGGAUAAGCCUGGGAAACCGGGUCUAAUACUGGAUAUGACUCCAUGACGCAUGUUGUGGGGUGGAAAGCCUUGUGCGGCUGAGGAUGGGCCCGCGGCCUAUCAGCUUGUUGGUGGGGUGAGGCCUACCAAGGCGACGACGGGUAGCCGGCCUGAGAGGGCGACCGGCCACACUGGGACUGAGACACGGCCCAGACUCCUACGGGAGGCAGCAGUGGGGAAUCUUGCGCAAUGGGCGAAAGCCUGACGCAGCGACGCCGCGUGAGGGAUGACGGCCUUCGG
rnacentral:rRNA from 1 species